rnacentral:rRNA from 1 species
GAUGAACGCUAGCUACAGGCUUAACACAUGCAAGUCGAGGGGUAACGAGAGGAAAGCUUGCUUUCCUUGUCGACGACCGGCGCACGGGUGAGUAACGCGUAUCCAACCUGCCCCCAACUAAGGAAUAACCUUGCGAAAGUAAGACUAAUACCUUAUAAUUUCCUCAGAUGUCAUCUGACGAGGAAUAAAGAUUUAUCGGUUGUGGAUGGGGAUGCGUCUGAUUAGCUUGUUGGCGGGGUAACGGCCCACCAAGGCAACGAUCAGUAGGGGCUCUGAGAGGAAGGUCCCCCACAUUGGAACUGCGACACGGUCCAAACUCCUACGGGAGGCAGCAGUGAGGAAUAUUGGUCAAUGGGCGAAAGCCUGAACCAGCCAAGUAGCUUGCAGGAUGACGGCCCUAUGGGUUGUAAACUGCUUUUAUACAGGAAUAAAGUUAGCCACGUGUGGUUAUUUGUAGGUACUGUAUGAAUAAGGACCGGCUAAUUCCGUGCCAGCCGCCGCGGUAA